rnacentral:rRNA from 1 species
AACGAACGCUGGCGGCAGGCCUAACACAUGCAAGUCGAACGCCCUAGCAAUAGGGAGUGGCAGACGGGUGAGUAACACGUGGGAACCUUCCCUAUAGUACGGAAUAGCUCAGGGAAACUUGAAGUAAUACCGUAUACGCCCGAGAGGGGAAAGAUUUAUCGCUAUAGGAUGGGCCCGCGUCGGAUUAGCUAGUUGGUGAGGUAAUGGCUCACCAAGGCGACGAUCCGUAGCUGGUUUGAGAGAACGACCAGCCACACUGGGACUGAGACACGGCCCAGACUCCUACGGGAGGCAGCAGUGGGGAAUAUUGGACAAUGGGCGCAAGCCUGAUCCAGCCAUGCCGCGUGAGUGAUGAAGGCCUUAGGGUUGUAAAGCUCUUUAGCAGGGAAGAUAAUGACUGUACCUGCAGAAUAAGCUCCGGCUAACUUCGUGCCAGCAGCCGCGGU